CGGAAGGAGAACAUCACUUGGAGCUAGGCUGCUUCUUGAGCAGGAGUGCUGCAUAGCCAUGGAUUCUCUUCACCAGUUGGCCUGUUGCCUCUAGCCAGAAGCCUCUCUUUGUGGGCAGAGUGAGUCUUGUUUCUUGUCAUUCACCACAACUGACAACGAAACUUUAAAGUUAUAACCCAUCUUUCACAAUUGGCCAUCAGUAACCAGGCAAUAUGGGUAAAAAGAGAGAUCCGAAG